rnacentral:rRNA from 1 species
CAAGCGGCGGACGGGUGAGUAACGCGUGGGUAACCUGCCCUAUACACAUGGAUAACAUACUGAAAAGUUUACUAAUACAUGAUAAUAUAUAUUUGCGGCAUCGCAGAUAUAUCAAAGUGUUAGCGGUAUAGGAUGGACCCGCGUCUGAUUAGCUAGUUGGUGAGAUAACUGCCCACCAAGGCGACGAUCAGUAGCCGACCUGAGAGGGUGAUCGGCCACAUUGGAACUGAGACACGGUCCAAACUCCUACGGGAGGCAGCAGUGGGGAAUAUUGCACAAUGGGCGAAAGCCUGAUGCAGCAACGCCGCGUGAACGAUGAAGGUCUUCGGAUCGUAAAGUUCUGUUGCAGGGGAAGAUAAUGACGGUACCCUGGAGGAG